rnacentral:rRNA from 1 species
GACGAACGCUGGCGGCGUGCCUAAUACAUGCAAGUAGAACGCUGAAGGAGGAGCUUGCUUCUCUGGAUGAGUUGCGAACGGGUGAGUAACGCGUAGGUAACCUGCCUGGUAGCGGGGGAUAACUAUUGGAAACGAUAGCUAAUACCGCAUAAGAGUAGAUGUUGCAUGACAUUUGCUUAAAAGGUGCAAUUGCAUCACUACCAGAUGGACCUGCGUUGUAUUAGCUAGUUGGUGGGGUAACGGCGCACCAAGGCGACGAUACAUAGCCGACCUGGGAGGGGGGUCGGCCACCCUGGGACUGGGACACGGCCCAGACUCCUACGGGAGGCAGCAGUAGGGAAUCUUCGGCAAUGGACGGAAGUCUGACCGAGCAACGCCGCGUGAGUGAAGAAGGUUUUCGGAUCGUAAAGCUCUGUUGUAAGGGAAGAACGAGUGUGAGAGUGGAAAGUUCACACUGUGACGGUAUCUUACCAGAAAGGGACGGCUAACUACGUG